rnacentral:rRNA from 1 species
AUUGAACGCUGGCGGCAGGCCUAACACAUGCAAGUCGAGCGGUAGAGGGGAGCUUGCUUCCCUUGAGAGCGGCGGACGGGUGAGUAAUGCCUAGGAAUCUGCCUGGUAGUGGGGGAUAACGUUCGGAAACGGACGCUAAUACCGCAUACGUCCUACGGGAGAAAGUGGGGGAUCUUCGGACCUCACGCUAUCAGAUGAGCCUAGGUCGGAUUAGCUAGUUGGUGAGGUAAUGGCUCACCAAGGCGACGAUCCGUAACUGGUCUGAGAGGAUGAUCAGUCACACUGGAACUGAGACACGGUCCAGACUCCUACGGGAGGCAG